CGAUCUCAAUGUCAUCUCCCAUGCGACAGGAAGUUCCACAGUCGACGUGGAACAGUAUCGGAAUGGAGUGAAGGUGGCAAGGUCCUUCACUCCAGACUUUGUCCUGGUCCGCCAACACGCUUACAGCAUGGCGAAGGGCGGAGACUUCCGGAAUAUUGUCAUCGGCCUCCAGUACGCUGGCGUGCCAAGCAUAAACUCCCUGCACUCCGUUUACAAUUUCUGUGACAAGCCGUGGGUGUUUGGCCAGUUGGCGAAGAUAUACAAGACACUAGGCCCGACAGAUUUCCCACUCAUCGAGCAAGUAUUUUACCCCAACCACAAGGAGAUG